rnacentral:rRNA from 1 species
AAACCCUGAUCCAGCCAUGCCGCGUGAGUGAAGAAGGCCUUCGGGUUGUAAAGCUCUUUCAGCCGGAACGAAACGGCCACGGUUAAUACCCGUGACUACUGACGGUACCGGAAGAAGAAGCACCGGCUAACUACGUGCCAGCAGCCGCGGUAAUACGUAGGGUGCGAGCGUUAAUCGGAAUUACUGGGCGUAAAGCGUGCGCAGGCGGUUUUGUAAGUCAGAUGUGAAAUCCCCGGGCUUAACCUGGGAACUGCGUUUGAAACUACAAGGCUAGAGUGUGGCAGAGGGGGGUGGAAUUCCACGUGUAGCAGUGAAAUGCGUAGAGAUGUGGAGGAACACCGAUGGCGAAGGCAGCCCCCUGGGUUAACACUGACGCUCAGGCACGAAAGCGUGGGGAGCAAACAGGAUUAGAUACCCUGGUAGUCCACGCCCUAAACGAUGUCAACUAGUUGUCGGGUCUUAACGGACUUGGUAACGCAGCUAACGCGUGAAGUUGACCGCCUGGGGAGUACGGUCGCAAGAUUA